rnacentral:rRNA from 1 species
GACGAACGCUGGCGGCAGGCCUAAAACAUGCAAGUCGAACGCUGUAGCAAUACAGAGUGGCGCACGGGUGAGUAACACGUGGGAAUGUGCCUUUUGGUACGGAACAACUUUUGGAAACGAAAGCUAAUACCGUAUGGUCCCUUCGGGGUAAAGAUUUAUCGCCAAAAGAGCAGCCCGCGUCUGGUUAGCUAGUUGGUGAGGUAAUGGCUCACCAAGGCGACGAUCAGUAGCUGGUCUGAGAGGACGAUCAGCCACACUGGGACUGAGACACGGCCCAGACUCCUACGGGAGGCAGCAGUUAGGAAUAUUGGACAAUGGGCGCAAGCCUGAUCCAGCCAUGCCGCGUGAGUGAUGAAGGCCUUCGGGUUGUAAAGCUCUUUAGCCGAUGAAUAUAAUGACUGUAGUCGGAAAAUAAGCCCCGGCUAACUUCGUGCCAGCCGCCGCAGUAA